rnacentral:rRNA from 1 species
CCUACGGGUGGCAGCAGUGAGGAAUAUUGGUCAAUGGCCGGAAGCCUGAACCAGCCAAGCCGCGUGAAGGACGAAGGUGCCAAGCAUUGUAAACUUCUUUUGUCAAGGGACAAAAUCAGGCUCGAGAGCCUUACCGAGGGUACUUUAAGAAAAAGCAUCGGCUAACUCCGUGCCAGCAGCCGCGGUAAUACGGAGGAUGCGAGCGUUAUCCGGAUUUAGUGGGUUUAAAGGGAGCGUAGCUGGGUUUUUAAGUCAGUUGUGAAAGUUUGCGGCUUAACCGUAAAAUUGCAAUUGAUACUGGCAGACUUGAGUACAGUUGAGGUAGGCGGAAUUCGUGGUGUAGCGGUGAAAUGCGUAGAUAUCACGAAGAACUCCGAUUGCGAAGGCAGCCUACUAAACUGCCACUGACAUUGAUGCUCGAAAGUGUGGGUAUCAAACAGGAUUAGAUACCCGGGUAGUC